UAGCUCCAAUAACUUGAACCUAAUCUUGACUGAAAUUCUUCUUGUUAUGGGCAUUAGAUCAGGGAAAUGAGAAUACACUCAGGACUUCUUAAUUCUUUCUAUCCAUCUUGUUGAUCCUGAGUGGUUAGCUCAUUCUUAGCUAGUUCCCACCCUGGACCUUUAAACCAUUGUUCCGCCCUCAUGCAUUCUGUUUUUGAGUGUCAUAUGUGCAGAUAUGUGCAAAAGGGCCGGAGAGGAAAGGAUCAACACAGCCAUCACUCGUUUCUAUCAAAGAAUACACUUUAAGAGCAAGGGCAUACAUGAUCUGAGAGGAAGAGUCCAACCUGUAGGGGUGCUCCGAACAGAAACACAAAGAGGGUGAAAGCAAAGCUGAAAUCAGGACCACCAGAGGCACACCAUAUGUAAUUACCCCCAUCUCGUCGUCAUCAUCAUCAUCAUCUUAUGAACUCUGAAAAAAAAAAAAAAACUUGGGUUCUAAAAGAUGAUGAGAAGGGGAAGAACGAAAAGGAAAACAGUGCCCCUGGUUGGUCGGCGAAACAAAUGCUGAUGUGGGAGUGAACAGUGUGAACAAGGGUGAUCUGGAAAAUGGAGCAACCUGUCAAAGAACAGAGCAAGCAGAGACGACUGCUCUGCAGAGAAAAACGAGUGGGGUCUGUGGAGAUCAAUGGAUCCAUC
rnacentral:lncRNA from 1 species